GGAAACUCUGACCCAGCGACGCCGCGUGCGGGAUGAAGGCCUUCGGGUUGUAAACCGCUUUCAGUAGGGAAGAAGCGAAAGUGACGGUACCUACAAAAGAAGCACCGGCUAACUAUGUGCCAGCAGCCGCGGUAAUACAUAGGGUGCAAGCGUUGUCCGGAAUUAUUGGGCGUAAAGAGCUCGUAGGUCGUUUGUUACGUCGGAUGUGAAAACCUGAGGCUCAACCUCAGGCCUGCAUUCGAUACGGGCAAACUAGAGUUUGGUAGGGGAGACUGGAAUUCCUGGUGUAGCGGUGGAAUGCGCAGAUAUCAGGAGGAACACCAAUGGCGAAGGCAGGUCUCUGGGCCAAUACUGACACUGAGGAGCGAAAGUCUGGGGAGCGAACAGGAUUAGAUACCCGAGUAGUC
rnacentral:rRNA from 1 species